GGUAAGUUCCUAUAUCAUUCCAGAUUCUGUCCAAGGCAUAGAGAUCGCACACGAGUUUUAGGGCAGCACGAGAGUUUUCAUCAGGACAAUUUUUAACUGCUUCAAUGAACUUUUCAAGAAUGAACGAUUCGAUAUGAGACUCUGCAAGUGUCAACAGGUGAUUUAAACAUCUAUUCCAAGCACCAAAUCCUCCAAGAGUCUUGGAGUGCUUCUGAAGCCGGAUAGCUACACUUUGAAGCAACCUUGAUGUCCGAUACCUAAAAGCAUCCAACUGGAAGUU
rnacentral:misc_RNA from 1 species